rnacentral:rRNA from 1 species
GACGAACGCUGGCGGCGUGCUUAACACAUGCAAGUCGAACGGUGAAGCGCCUUCCUUUUUGGUGGGUGUGGUUGAGUGGCGAACGGGUGAGUAACACGUGAGUAACCUGCCCCCUUCUUCUGGAUAACCGCAUGAAAGUGUGGCUAAUACGGGAUAUUCUGGGUCUGUGGCAUGAUGGGUCUGGGUCAGAUAUUGUUUCGGUGGGGGAUGGGCUCGCGGCCUAUCAGCUUGUUGGUGGGGUGAUGGCCUGUCAGGGCGGGGACGGGUGGCGGGGUUGUGGGGUAGUAGCAGGGCUGUGAGGGUGCGACGGCCUGGGAGGGUGGACGGCCAGAGUGGGACUGGGACACGGCCGAGACUGCGACGGGGGGCAGCAUUGGGGGAGAGGGCACAGUGGGGGAAAUCCUGAUGCAGCGGCGCCGCGGGUGGGAUGGAGGCCUGCGGGUGGUGAACCCCUUUCGGCAGUGAAGCAGGCCUGCCUCGUUUGUGGGUGGGUUGACGGUAGCUGGAUAAGAAGCGCCGGCUAACUACGUG